AUUGAACGCUGGCGGCAUGCUUUACACAUGCAAGUCGAACGGCAGCGCGGGCUUCGGCCUGGCGGCGAGUGGCGAACGGGUGAGUAAUGCAUCGGAACGUGCCCAGUAGUGGGGGAUAGCCCGGCGAAAGCCGGAUUAAUACCGAAUACGACCUGAGGGUGAAAGCGGGGGACCGAAAGGCCUCGCGCUAUUGGAGCGGCCGAUGUCGGAUUAGCUAGUUGGUGGGGUAAAGGCUUACCAAGGCGACGAUCCGUAGCUGGUCUGAGAGGACGACCAGCCACACUGGGACUGAGACACGGCCCAGACUCCUACGGGAGGCAGCAGUGGGGAAUUUUGGACAAUGGGGGCAACCCUGAUCCAGCCAUGCCGCGUGCGGGAAGAAGGCCUUCGGGUUGUAAACCGCUUUUGUUCGGGAAGAAAUUCUCUGGGCUAAUACCCCGGGGGGAUGACGGUACCGGAAGAAUAAGCACCGGCUAACUACGUG
rnacentral:rRNA from 1 species